rfam:Ornithorhynchus anatinus chromosome 3, whole genome shotgun sequence.
GCCGAAAAGACAGUGAUGUUUCCUUUCCAAGCACAUAUCCGAAUUGUGUGUGUGGACAACUUGAAGACUGAGUCUUUUCCUU